rnacentral:rRNA from 1 species
GACAGAGGGUGCAAACGUUGUUCGGAAUUACCGGGCGUAAAGCGCGUGUAGGCGGCUCUGCAAGUCGGAUGUGAAAUCCCACGGCUCAACCAUGGAAGUGCAUUCGAAACUGCAGGGCUAGAGUCCUGGAGAGGAAGGUGGAAUGCUUGGUGUAGAGGUGAAAUUCGUAGAUAUCAAGCGGAACACCGGUGGCGAAGGCGGCCUUCUGGACAUUGACUGACGCUGAGACGCGAAAGCGUGGGGAGCAAACAGG